rnacentral:lncRNA from 1 species
GGCAUCUCUAAGUUAAAGAAAGCAUUUUCAUCCAUCCAAGAGCUUUCUACCAUCAAGAUCAUCAUCUUCUUUCCUCAUCAUCUUCACUAAGAUCAUCCCUAGCCACAAGUGCUAGAAGGAAUUAGUGGACCUUGUCAGGGAUUCUAAUUCAAGAAACAAGUAUCAAGACUCCAUGCCAUCUUUUGAAGGGUUUAUCUAUUAUACUGCCGCUUUGCGGUGGCAUAGUGGACAAAGCCUUAAUGUUUAAAACUUUCGUUUUGGAUGUAUGAAAUAGUAACAACUUAUUUUCUUUGAAUGGUUUGUAAAUUAUAAACUUAAUGUAUGUUGAGCAUCUUUUGAACAGUUAUGAUCACACCUCGCGCUUCCGCUACGAGCAGGGUGUGACAAUAUGCGUACUACUUCACAUAAUGUAUGAUUGA